CCAGACUCCUACGGGAGGCAGCAGUGGGGAAUAUUGCACAAUGGGGGAAACCCUGAUGCAGCGACGCCGCGUGAGUGAAGAAGUAUUUCGGUACGUAAAGCUCUAUCAGCAGGGAAGAAAAAAAGUCCUUUGGACUUUGGACGGUACCUGACCAAGAAGCCCCGGCUAACUACGUGCCAGCAGCCGCGGUAAUACGUAGGGGGCAAGCGUUAUCCGGAUUUACUGGGUGUAAAGGGAGCGUAGACGGCAGCGCAAGUCUGGAGUGAAAGCCCGUGGCUCAACCGCGGAACUGCUUUGGAAACUGUUAAGCUGGAGUACUGGAGAGGCAAGCGGAAUUCCUAGUGUAGCGGUGAAAUGCGUAGAUAUUAGGAGGAACACCAGUGGCGAAGGCGGCUUGCUGGACAGAGACUGACGUUGAGGCUCGAAAGCGUGGGGAGCAAACAGGAUUAGAUACCCUCGUA
rnacentral:rRNA from 1 species